rnacentral:lncRNA from 1 species
AUCGAGGGGAAACUCCCACAGCAGGGAGAGAAUUAGGAUUCCUGUCUGUGUGAUGAGCUAUGUUGCUCUCCCUAGGGUGUUCACAGGAGAUGGGGUGCUAGCUCAGCAAACAUGAGGUUUCAGUAUCUUAGCGAGCAACUGUGAUAAGAGGACAUUCCCCCUUUCCCCUUUCCCCUCCUUUUUAAAAAUAAUUCUGUUGCUUAAAUAAUAAUGAUAAAGGCAUCUUUUGUUGUUGUUGUUUGUUUGUUUGUUUGUUGUAGCUGUGAAGCAUGAAUAGGUUGAUACAAAAGGAAUUUUAAUUUUAAAAUGGAUUUUUUGUGGUAAUCUCUCUUUAGUCCAGUUUGCUUUGUGAAUCCCUUUUCUAGGAUCCCAAGUUUUCCUGCAAUAUGCAUGGGAAAUGUACCUGCUGAGUGAAUGGGAGAAUAACUGUUUCUGCUCCGUGUAUUUUUAUUCCUAAGAUAACUUCUCUAUUAAGACUGGUCUGGGAUUUAACAAAGCAGCGACAUUUUCUGCUUGCUUCAGGACUUUACUAUGGCAUCAUACUUGUACCAGUUUAUGGGGAAAAAAUCCUUCCUAGAACCCCCUUUUUCUCUGAUGGUGCACUCAGCUACUCAGCUUCCUUGGAUUUGAAGACUAGUAGCUUCGGGCUUCCUGAAGGAGAAAGGGUGAGUUAUCAGAAUCCAAAGGUCAUCACUGGGAGUAUGGCUGUAAUGAUGAGUUUCCCUUUUCCUGCUGCUGGUAAAUAUGUCAAUACUUCCUUCCUCCUCAGCCUUCUGUCUGCUUUGGCUUACUUUUGUAAGUUUUCUUAACACAGCUUACGUGCUCUUUAUUGUCACUAGUUGCCAGUGAUUCAGUUUUUGUUCUGUUCUGUUUAAAACUGAUUUUACCCGAACAAUGAGAUGCUGCACUCCUGCAGUGACCUGUGAAUUAAAGCUGUGAUUUCUGUCAAUGCCCUGGACUUCUGGUAUCAACCUGUGUGUAUACUCUCUUCCAUACCUGAUUUUAUUUUAGGGACAUAGACAAUUCAAUCCAUGCCGAAUAACUUGUUAUCUCUAUAAACUAGAGGUAGUCUGAAAUAAAUUUAGGCAGUAGUUACUUGACCAUGAGACAAUUUAUUUAUUUAUUUAUUUAUUUUUUAAGGCUAAAGUUAGCUCAAGCUAAGUCAAACCCAGGCAAGUCCCGAGAUCUUGCAGUCAGGUCAGUGGUUUUAGUACUGGCAAAAUUAUUUUCUGUAAAGAUAAAAAUGCUAUAAAGAUGCUUGGAAAGUUCAAACGAACAAAAGCCAAGUAACAACAGUAAGAAUAAAAAUAUAAGGUGACUUUCCUAUGAGUCACUUAAAUAGCAGAAAUUGAACUCUCCCUCUGUUGUCCAGCUAUCCUCCAAAAAAAAAAAAAAAAAAUUAUUCUGUCUUCCGUGCAAUUCAUAUUGUGAUGCUAGUUUCUAGUAUCCUUUUAGUAAAUGUGUGCAAAGACAUUACUUAAUAAAUAAAUAAAUAAAUAAUACAGGUCUACUUCUAAAUACAUACAGCAACUUCUGAAGACCUGCUUCAGCAGUGAAAAACUACCUGCCAAGAGUUUUAAACACUUACUUUGCAUAUUGAAAUAAUUUGAUUAAAAAAAACAACCCUCCCAACUUUCUGAAGAGAUGUUGUCAUCAGUGGGACAAAAAAUCCCAUCCGUUAAAACAAACAAUAAAAACAACACUUAAGUUUUGCUACUAGUUCCUGUCUGUAGCACUCACCUGUCAUGUGUUUCAUGACAUUUAUGCAGUUCUGAG